rnacentral:tRNA from 1 species
GCCUGGGUGGCUCAGUUGGUUGAGCGUCUGACUUCGGCUCAGGUCAUGAUCUCACGGUUUGUGGGUUCAAGCCCCGCGUCGGGGU